rnacentral:rRNA from 1 species
GAGGGAAAGUUGAAAAGAACUUUGAAGAGAGAGUUCAAGAGUACGUGAAACCGUUCAGGGGUAAACCUGAGGAACCCGAAAGAUCGAAUGGGGAGAUUCAACGUCAGCAACGCUGGCCUGCCGAUGGCUAGUGAUGCCUUUGGUACUUCGGUAUCAGUGGCACGCUGUCGUCGCGCAAGUCCGGUGGCGUCGGCGUGCACUUCUCCCCUAGUAGGACGUCGCGACCCGUUGGGUGCCGGUCUAAGGCUCGGGCGGUAGCCUGUCUCGUCGUUUCGGCGAAUCGAGGCAGACCCCCGAAUGCCAGUCGCCGGCUGCCCGGCGGUACUCGCAUGGUAUAGGGCCGCAGAAUCGAACUGCGUCGGGCCCGUCGCAAGCGCGAUCAGUGUUUCACGGAGGUCGGACCUAGUGCCGUCCCCGUGCCUGAUCAGCUGUUGGUUGACGGUGCUCUCCGACUGGCCAAUCGAACGAAACUAGAAUACCGGUCGGCGACGCUACUGCUUUGGGUAAUCUCAGGACCCGUCUUGAAAACCGG